UACGGAGGUGGCAAGCGUUGUUCGGAAUUACUGGGCGUAAAGGGCGCGUAGGCGGCUAGGCAAGUCAGGUGUGAAAGCCCCGGGCUUAACUCGGGAAUUGCAUCUGAAACUGCUGUGCUUGAGUUCUGGAGGGGGUAGUGGAAUUCCCAGUGUAGCGGUGAAAUGCGUAGAUAUUGGGAGGAACACCUGCGGCGAAGGCGGCUACCUGGACAGAAACUGACGCUGAGGCGCGAAAGCUAGGGGAGCGAACGGG
rnacentral:rRNA from 1 species